ensembl:lncRNA
GAGUAGCUGGGACCACAGGUGCACACCACCACGUCCGGCCAAUUUUUGUAUUUUUUGAGGAGACAGGAUCUCAUUGUGUUGCCCGGGCUGGUCUCCAACUCCUGGGCUCAAGCAAUCUUUCUGCCUUGGUCUCCCAAAGUGCUGGGAGUAUGGGCGUGAACCAGCGCACCCCGCCUCCCUCACUCUCAGUCUCUGUGUUUCUGUGUUCAUCGCUCUCUCCUCUUUCUGUCUCUCCCUCUGUGUCUGUUUUCUGUCUCUCUUUUCAGUAUGGUCUCUGUCUUUCCUCUCUCUGGACAUCGCUGUCUUCCCCUUUUCUCAGUGGCUCUCUUUCUCCUCCCGCUCUCUGUUUUCCAGGAUCUCUCUGCCAUCCCUGCGUUAUCUGUCUCUUCCUCUUCCUCUCCAUCUCUUUUCAGGGUCUCCACGUGUUUUUCUCCAUCAUCUCUCUCUGCCUGUCUUUCUCAGGACCUCUGAGUCUAUUUCUCCCUCUCUUCUCCCACCUCUGUGUCCCUGGCUGGGCCCUGGGACCGACCCUGGUCAGCCUGUGAUGGGAACAGCAUUGGGAUUAAAGAGCUGACAUCUUAAUCCCCACGUGGGGACCACCUACAAGCCUCACUCCAGCCAGCCCCAUGCUCAGCAGAGCGUGUCCCAGUUUUUGCAUCGCCUUGGGGAGACCCCGUUCAGGGUAGGGCCUCCCAGGCCACCUCCACUGAUGGCUGAGGGGCCAGUUCCACUCUGCCUGAAUCUGGCUCGAUGUGCUUUGGGACGCCUGCCCAGCGAGAACAGCCAUUGCCAGCAGGAUGUUAGGGUAUUAGGUUGGGUCCCAGGUUGGGAGGGUACAUGCCUGAGGUUGCUAUCCACCCCAAAGGGGAGAAUUUCAGUGAGAGGGUGGGAGGGCCGAGUGCAGUGGUUCACGCAUGUAAUCCCAGCACUUUGGGAGGCUGAGAUGGGCAGAUCACUUGAGGCCAGUAGUUCAAGACAAGCCUGGCCAACAUGGUGAAACCCCAUCUCUACUAAAAAUACAAAAAUUAGCCAGGCACAGUGGUGCGUGCCUGUAAUUCCAGCUACUCGGGAGGCUGAGGCACGAGAAUCACUUGAGCCCUGAAGGUGGAGGUUGCAGUGAGCUAAGAUCGUGCCACUGCACUCCAGCCUGGGCAACAGAGCAAGACUCUGUCAAAAAAAAAAGAAAAAAAGAAAAAAAAAAAAAAGAGGGGGUGGGGAUUGAGGGAGAGGAGCCUCAGUCCUCGGAACUCCCACUGUCAUUGCUCAUCUGUCUUUCUCUGGUCAUUUCUCUGUUUCUUUCCAUUCUCUCUCUCUCGAUUCCCCCUGCCUCCCAUUUCUUAGCGUCUGUGUUUCUCUGCUUUUCUCUGUAUUUAAUGGUGUCUUCCUCUUUCUUUCUGGGUUUCUGACUUGUGAAUUAAAAGGUAGCGAUUAGAAGUGCAGUGUCUGAGUAGGGCAUGGUGGUGUGCACGGGUUGUCCAGAACUUCGGGAGGCUGAGGCUGGAGGAUCACUUGAGGCCAGGAGUUCGAGACCAGCCUGGGCAACAUAGCGAGACUUCCUCUACAAAAAAUAAAAAAAAAA